GAUGAAGAACGUAGUGAAAUGCGAUACGUAAUGUGAAUUGCAGAAUUCAGUGAAUCAUCGAGUCUUUGAACGCACAUUGCGCACUCUGGUAUUCCGGAGGGCAUGCCUGUCCGAGCGUCAUUGCUGCCCUCAAGCACGGCUUGUGUGUUGGGCUCCGUCCUCCUUCCGGGGGACGGGCCCGAAAGGCAGCGGCGGCACCGCGUCCGGUCCUCAAGCGUAUGGGGCUUUGUCACCCGCUUUGUAGGACUGGCCGGCGCCUGCCGAUCAACCAAACUUUUUUCCAGGUUGACCUCGGAUCAGGUAGGGAUACCCGCUGAACUUAAGCAUAUCAAUAAGCGGAGGA
rnacentral:misc_RNA from 1 species